UACGGGGGGGGCAAGCGUUGUUCGGAAUUACUGGGCGUAAAGGGCUCGUAGGUGGCCAACUAAGUCAGACGUGAAAUCCCUCGGCUUAACCGGGGAACUGCGUCUGAUACUGGAUGGCUUGAGUUUGGGAGAGGGAUGCGGAAUUCCAGGUGUAGCGGUGAAAUGCGUAGAUAUCUGGAGGAACACCGGUGGCGAAGGCGGCAUCCUGGACCAACACUGACGCUGAGUGAGCGAAAGCAAGGGGAGCAAACGGG
rnacentral:rRNA from 1 species